GCUGGGCGUGGUGGCUCAUGCCUGUAAUCCUAGCACUUUUGGAGGCCGAGUUGGGUGGAUCACCUGAGGUCAGGAGUUGGAGACCAGCCUGGCCAACAUGGUGAAACCCCAUCUCUA
rfam:Gorilla gorilla gorilla genomic chromosome, chr7, whole genome shotgun sequence